AUGAUCGAGGUGACGGCGGCACAUCGGAGGAGGCAGCUCGGAGAGGGUGAUGUGGCGCGUGGCAGCGGCAGCCACGAGAGGACCGGGGAUGCCACGGCAAAGGCCCAGCUGAGCAUACUCGACCAGGCAUGGAAGCCGAGCUACACUCGAGACAUAGCCAAGACACGCUUCUUCUCGAGUAACCUCAGUUGGGGCACGCGGGGCUUCUUGAAACACGAGGAUCUGGACGCCCUAACGAGGAAGCAUCUCAAGGACGACUGCCUGACUGUUCUGUGCGAUGUCACCGUCACCGUCACCGAGCUGUGCACCGAAGACCACGCCGAGACUGCCGCACCGGAGCCUACAGUGGUGGCGCCUCCCUUCGGAUUGCCCGGGCAACUCGGGGAAGCCGUCUGGAACACGAAGGGAGUGGACGUGCACAUCGAGGUCGGCGGGGAGACGCUCCCCGCGCACCGGCAGAUACUCGAGGCCGGGUCACCCGUCUUCAAGGCGGACCUCUCGCUCGCCUCGGCCACCGCCAGCGACAGCAGCGACACCGCCGUACUGCGCGUCGACGACAUGGACGCCGAGGUGUUCAAGGCCCUGCUCCAGUUCAUCUACACGGACUCACCUCCCGUGAUCCUGUCGGCGUCGAUGGCGGAGAGGCUGCUCGUCGCGGCGGACAGGUACAAGCUGGAAGAGUUGAAGCUCCUCUGCGAGGACGCAUUGUGCUGGCGCGUCGACAUGAGCUCCGUGGCUGUCGCUCUAGCGUUGGCGGAGAAGCAUAGUUGCUCCGCGCUGAGGGCGGCAUGCAUCCAGUUCCUCUCUUGUCCGGGGAACCUGGAAUCAUUCAUGGCAUCGGAUGGGUUUGAGAAGGUAAGGACGUAUUGUCCCUUCCGCUCUCAUGGAGCUUGUCCUCAAGAAGAUUACAAUAUAGGAGCAACUAGCAACUAA
rnacentral:rRNA from 1 species